CAGCCCAGAAACAGAAAGCCUCUGGAGCUUUGCACAAGUCUUGACCACUGCACCAAAAGCCUCAUCCAUGGGUUCAUUUGUCAGGUAAUCUGGUUGGCCAGGAUUCAUUAUGCAGAGACGAAAAUGGGUGAAAUCAGAGCAGUUACGCACUAUCGUUGCAACAGCAGCAUUAGUCAUUUGCCGGCAAAAAUAGAGAACAUAUUGAAGUUUAGGACAACCGGCAGACACAGCCACAAAGCCCGACUCCGUCACCCCAUGGACUAUAGGCAGUUGCGCACUAUCGUUGCAACAGCAGCAUUAGUCAUUUGCCGGCAAAAAUAGAGAACAUAUUGAAGCUUAGGACAACCAGCAGACACAGCCACAAAGCCCGACUCUGUCACACCAUGGACU
rnacentral:lncRNA from 1 species